rnacentral:rRNA from 1 species
CACGCCUAACACAUGCAAGUCGAACGAAGUAGCAAUACUUAGUGGCAGACGGGUGAGUAACAUGUGGGUAUCUGCCCUUUGGCCUGGAAUAACACGAGGAAACUUGUGCUAAUACCGGAUAAGUCUUUACGGAGAAAGCUUUAUGCACCAUUGGAUGAGCCUGCAUUUGAUUAGUUUGUUGGUGGGGUAAUGGCCUACCAAGACUGUGAUCAAUAGCUGAUUUGAGAGGAUGAUCAGCCACAUUGGGACUGAGACACGGCCCAAACUCCUACGGGAGGCAGCAGUGGGGAAUCUUGCACAAUGGAGGAAACUCUGAUGCAGCGAUGCCGCGUGAGUGAAGAAGGCCCUUGGGUUGUAAAGCUCUUUCGUCGGGGAAGAAAAUGACUGUACCCGAAUAAGAAGGUCCGGCUAACUUCGUGCCAGCAGCCGCGGUAAUACGAAGGGACCUAGCGUAGUUCGGAAUUACUGGGCUUAAAGAGUUCGUAGGUGGUUGAAAAAGUUGGUGGUGAAAUCCCAGAGCUUAACUCUGGAACUGCCAUCAAAACUUUUCAGCUAGAGUAUGAUAGAGGAAAGCAGAAUUUCUAGUGUAGAGGUGAAAUUCGUAGAUAUUAGAAAGAAUACCAAUUGCGAAGGCAGCUUUCUGGAUCAUUACUGACACUGAGGAACGAAAGCAUGGGUAGCGAAGAGGAUUAGAUACCCUCGUAGUCCAUGCCGUAAACGAUGUGUGUUAGACGUUGGAAAUUUUUUUUCAGUGUCGCAGCGAAAGCAAUAAACACACCGCCUGGGGA